GACGAGCAGUGGUAGCGCAAUGGCUAGCACUCGGCCCCACAAAGGGCGAAAUACGGGUUCGCAUCCCGUCCAACGUCU